rnacentral:lncRNA from 1 species
GGCACCAGCUCCUUCACAAACAGCCUAGGCAUCAGAGCUGGCAGGCCUGCAGCUGGAUGUCAAAGCAGCCUCACAACACCUAUGUCAUGUGGAAGCAGUGCACCCAGCUUUGUUAAGGUCACCAGCCUCUGUGCCAGGAUUACUCAUGAUCUGCCCUCCAUCUUGUAUUGUUCCUGGCCUACAGCAUUUGCAGACAGUGACGUCAUUUGGAACACCAUUUAUGACAGGUCUGCACUCAGCCGUAGCAACUACCAAGCAGUCUUUAUUCUGCCUGCUAGCCACAUGCUGCACCUUGCCAAAACUAUCACAAAUGGCAUCCUGAAAGGCACGGGCUUGUCCUUCAAGCUUGCUACCAGAGAGAGUAGAAGGAGAAGAAGCAGAUUUUCCACUGUCAAUGCGUGUCUGUUUCUGGCGUACAACUGCUGUCAAAGGUGAAGCGAACUUCAAGAACUUGGCAGCUGUCGCAGCAAGAACUUUGCCUUCCCUGUCUGCAGCCAGGUCGCAGCUCCAUUCUUGCUUGCGCAGUGCCACAGCCUUCCGCCGUCGCCUCUUCGAUACUACCAGUUUCCACUCACUGUCACCACAGUGGGAGGCAGCCUCUGGCACACCUGCUUCUCGAGCACUGGCCUCUCCU